GAUGAACGCUGGCGGCGUGCCUCAAACAUGCAAGUCGAGCGGGGCUAUGUAAUAUCGCAAGGUAGAACAUAGCCUAGCGGCGAACGGGUGAGUAACACGUGGGUAACCUGCCUGGAAGACAGGGAUAACGAUUCGAAAGGGUCGCUAAUACCUGAUAAUAUCCUUUCAUCGCAUGGUGAUAGGAAGAAAGGGGAAACCCGCUUUCAGAUGGGCCCGCGUCCCAUCAGCUAGUUGGUAAGGUAAAGGCUUACCAAGGCGACGACGGGUAGCCGGUCUGAGAGGAUGUACGGCCACACUGGGACUGAGAUACGGCCCAGACUCCUACGGGAGCAGCAGUUGGGAAUCUUAGGCAAUGGACGAAAGUCUGACCUAGCGACGCCGCGUGAGGGAAGAAGGCCUUCGGGUUGUAAACCUCUGUCAUGGGGAAGAAGUAAGUGACGGUACCCAAGAGGAAGCCCCUGCUAACUACGUGCCAGCAGCCGGGUAAUAGUACUCUAU
rnacentral:rRNA from 1 species